rnacentral:rRNA from 1 species
AGCGAACGCUGGCGGCAGGCCUAACACAUGCAAGUCGAACGAACCUUUCGGGGUUAGUGGCGGACGGGUGAGUAACUCGUGGGAACGUGCCUUUAGGUUCGGAAUAACUCAGGGAAACUUGUGCUAAUACCGAAUGUGCUCUUCGGGGGAAAGAUUAAUCGCCUUUAGAGCGGCCCGCGUCUGGUUAGCUAGUUGGUUGAGGUAAUGGCUCACCAAGGCGACGAUCAGUAGCUGGUCUGUGAGGAUGAUUAGCCACAUUGGGACUGAGACACGGCCCAAACUCCUACGGGAGGCAGCGGUGGGGAGUCUUGCGCAAUGGGCGAAAGCCUGACGCAGCCAUGCCGCGUGAAUGAUGAAGGUCUUAGGAUUGUAAAAUUCUUUCACCGGGGACGAUAAUGACGGUACCCGGAGAAGAAGCCCCGGCUAACUUCGUG